UACGUAGGUGGCAAGCGUUGUCCGGAAUUAUUGGGCGUAAAGAGCUCGUAGGCGGCCUGUUGCGUCCGCUGUGAAAUCCCGGGGCUUAACCCCGGGCUUGCAGUGGAUACGGGCAGGCUGGAGGCAGGCAGGGGAGAACGGAAUUCCCGGUGUAGCGGUGAAAUGCGCAGAUAUCGGGAGGAACACCGGUGGCGAAGGCGGUUCUCUGGGCCUGUACUGACGCUGAUGCACGAAAGCGUGGGUAGCAAACAGG
rnacentral:rRNA from 1 species